AUUGAACGCUGGCGGCAGGCUUAACACAUGCAAGUCGAGCGGAGAGAAGUAGCUUGCUACUGAUCUUAGCGGCGGACGGGUGAGUAAUGCUUAGGAAUCUGCCUAUUAGUGGGGGACAACAUUUCGAAAGGAAUGCUAAUACCGCAUACGUCCUACGGGAGAAAGCAGGGGAUCUUCGGACCUUGCGCUAAUAGAUGAGCCUAAGUCGGAUUAGCUAGUUGGUGGGGUAAAGGCCUACCAAGGCGACGAUCUGUAGCGGGUCUGAGAGGAUGAUCCGCCACACUGGGACUGAGGAGCGGACCAGACUCCGACGGGAGGCAGCAGUGGGGAAUAUUGGAGAAUGGGCGGAAGCCUGAUCCAGCCAUGCCGCGUGUGUGAAGAAGGCCUUAUGGUUGUAAAGCACUUUAAGCGAGGAGGAGGCUACUUUAGUUAAUACCUAGAGAUAGUGGACGUUACUCGCAGAAUAAGCACCGGCUAACUCUGUGCCAGCCGCCGCCGUAACAC
rnacentral:rRNA from 1 species